rnacentral:lncRNA from 1 species
CUAAUGAACCUAAUGAGAUUACAGAGACUAAGGUAAUGUUUGGAUGCCUCUGAAUGAGGUCUCCUCAUAGAGUGGAAGCAUGCUCAUUGGCAAUAUUUGGACUCCUGGGCUCUAUAAAACACACAGAUAUACAUAAAAUUACUGCAGAAGAACAUGGAGAUGGUAGACAUGUACAGGCAUGUGACCUGAGAGGAUGGUUUAGAGACCCUAUUCUUAAACACCAGAUCUUUUGGAGAUUUUUGGAUUCUACUCCUUAGAGAAAAAACUGAAUAGUCCAUCUAUUUCCUGCCCAGUGUCUUGCUUGAAGACCAGUCUGUUAGUUAUUUGGAUGCUUUUGCUGAUAACUGGAUGUAAAGAGGGUUGUGUACUUAGAAAAUUAAAUACUCAAGUGGAUCUGUGAUCUCAUCCAUCUAAACAUUCCCUCCAGUGAUGCAGAAGACAACCUGGCCAUGCCUGCUUAUCCUGUGUGACCACCAUCUCUAUCUCUCUAUAAGUUUCCCCAAAGGAGACCGCCCAAUAUGCUGGAGGCCAUCCUCAAUUUCUCCUGACAACUUUUGCAACUUUAUUUUGAAGGUCCUGUUAGACCUAUAUCCAGGUAACAGAAGAUGGAGCAGAAUCAUCUGCUAUGCUCCAGAGACUAAUUGGUGGGAAGCCGAUGAAUGUGUGAUCAAAGAAAAGGAUAAAAACCACAUCCCAGACUUCCGGGUAAUCAUGGCUGCAAUCUAG